GAGCGCCCCGCAAGGGGAGCGGCAGACGGGUGAGUAACACGUGGGAAUCUACCCAGCUCUACGGAAUAACUCAGGGAAACUUGUGCUAAUACCGUAUACGUCCGAGAGGAGAAAGAUUUAUCGGAGUUGGAUGAGCCCGCGUCGGAUUAGCUAGUUGGUGGGGUAAAGGCCUACCAAGGCGACGAUCCGUAGCUGGUCUGAGAGGAUGAUCAGCCACACUGGGACUGAGACACGGCCCAGACUCCUACGGGAGGCAGCAGUGGGGAAUAUUGGACAAUGGGCGCAAGCCUGAUCCAGCCAUGCCGCGUGAGUGAAGAAGGCCUUAGGGUUGUAAAGCUAUUUUGGCGGGGACGAUAAUGACGGUACCCGCAGAAUAAGCCCCGGCUAACUUAGUG
rnacentral:rRNA from 1 species